UUGACCUCGGAUCAGGUAGGGAUACCCGCUGAACUUAAGCAUAUCAAAAAAGCGGGAAGGAAA
rnacentral:rRNA from 1 species